rnacentral:rRNA from 1 species
AUUGAACGCUGGCGGCAUGCUUUACACAUGCAAGUCGAACGGUAACAGGCCUUCGGGUGCUGACGAGUGGCGGACGGGGGAGUAAUGCAACGGAACGUACCCCGAGGUGGGGGAUAACGCAGCGAAAGCUGUGCUAAUACCGCAUGUGAGCUGAGGAUGAAAGCGGGGGACCGCGCAGCAAUGUUUGGCCUCGCGCCUUUGGAGCGGCCGAUCUCGGUUUGGCUGGUUGGGGGGGUAAAGGCCACCCAAGGCAACGAUCCGUAGCUGGUCUGAGAGGACGGCCAGCCCCACUGGGCCUGGGCCACGGCCCAGCCUCCUACGGGGGGCAGCAGUGGGGAUUUUUCGACAAUGGGCGCAAGCCUGCGCCAGCAAUGCCGCGGGCGGGAAGAAGGCCUUCGGGUUGUAAACCGCUUUUGGCAGGAACGAAACGGUGGCCGCUAAUACCGGGCGCUAAUGACGGUACCUGCAGAAUAAGCACCGGCUACCUCCGU